UGCCUGUCUCAAGGACUUGUCAAUGGGCUGCAGACAGUACAGAAAUUUAAUUUUUCAUUUGCCUUUGUUUCCCACAUCAAAACUGCUUGACGAGGUGGUGUUCUGGUUUGCAGUCAGUUGCUCUUUUUCUUUCAGAACCUUCUGGAUCUCGGCGUGGCCAAGUUCCUUCUGUUUCUGAGCCUCCUCCAUCGCCUGCUACACGAUCCCCUCAAACCUGACCAUGAUCUUCCCCAUCUCCAGGUGUUUCACGUGGAGCGCCUCAAACCUGCUCCCCAGCAACAGGUUCUCCCUUAGUGUGGCUUCCACGGCCGCGUCCAGAUCAUUCUGCCUGUACUGCGGCACGUCCACGAUGGGCCGCAUGGGGAGCAGCAGGAACCUACGGUGUGGCGAGAACACACCGAGGCAGACCCAGCAGGGGGAAGCCCCGGGAGCUCCCAGAAAGUCAAGUACCACGAACUUCCGCUCAAGUGGGCCGCUGGUGGAGGGCGCAUGCGCGCCCUGUGCCCUGCCGGCCUCCGUCACCUCGUUCGUGUCCGAGGGCUGUCAAAUUUGAGGUAUAAGGGCCAACUCCUUAAACAAGGAAGGCCCAUACUGACAGAACCCGCCUUGCCCCGUGCCUGGAACCUCUGCUGGGUCUCGGAAGCGCUCCUUCUCGGGUCUGAGGGGGGCUCUGCCCCCGCUGAGGAGGGUGCAUACCGCCCGCCUUCCGCCUGCGGUGGGGCCUCCAACCGCCUGCGGCACCUGCGGUGAAUUUCCGCCUGCCGCCUCCAGGGCCUAUGCAGCCACCGGCACGGGCGUGACAUCCCCCAGGUUGGAGGCACCUGUCCGCGUCACGUCAGAACUGAAUCCGUGCGGGAGGGGACCGUGCAAGGGUGUGAAUACGAACAGACAAGGCUCUUGGAAAAUCUUCUUGGAGGCCGGCUACCCACCGCAAUAAUGAUGUGUCAUCUAUUCAGUACCUAUUAUGUGCUUGGCUUUAGAUGGGAAUGAUCUCACUUCAUCCUCACUACAGCCUUAUACGGGUGGUCCUCCAGAAACCUGUUAUAAUUCUACUCCGUUUGAAAGCUAUGCGUCUGUUAGGAUCUUUAAAAGGAGUCUUUACACUCAAAGCAAAUGGAGAAAAAGGAAACCAGAUCAUCUCAAUGGAAUCUGUGGCCAGACCAGAAAAUGAGGCAGGACCCGGGAGAACUGAAUUGAGAGAAGAGGCAGAGAACAAAAGUCCUUCCAGCCAACCAUUAAUCCAGGGCUGCUUUCUCUGGAUAGGCCAAUAGAAAGAGGUUUUGAAGGGCUUUACAAAUAUGCUUUCUAAAGUUUAAUAAUUACUUAAAAAAAAUUUAA